rnacentral:rRNA from 1 species
GACGAACGCUGGCGGCGUGCUUAACACAUGCAAGUCGAACGGAAGGGCCCUGCUUGCAGGGUGCUCGAGUGGCGAACGGGUGAGUAACACGUGGGUGAUCUGCCCCUUACUUUGGGAUAAGCCUGGGAAACUGGGUCUAAUACUGGAUAGGACCAUGCUGUAGGUGGUGUGGUGGAAAGAUUAGUUUCGGUAAGGGAUGAGCUCGCGGCCUAUCAGCUUGUUGGUGGGGUAAUGGCCUACCAAGGCGUCGACGGGUAGCCGGCCUGAGAGGGUGGACGGCCACAUUGGGACUGAGAUACGGCGCAGACUCCUACGGGAGGCAGCAGAGGGGAAUAUUGCACAAUGGGCGCAAGCCUGAUGCAGCGACGCCGCGUGGGGGAUGACGGCCUUCGGGUUGUAAACUCCUUUCAGCCAUGACGAAGCCCUUGUGGUGACGGUAGUGGUAGAAGAAGCACCGGCUAACUACGUG